UCUAUUUAAUAGGAAAUUGCAGCUGCAGACGUAUAAAAAAGGCUCGGUGUCAGAAGACACUCCACAUUUUACAAAGGACAUUAAAAGUAUUGGUAAAGCCAUGCCCCCCCGGCCACACUUCUUAUCACACCCCAUGAAACAGAAAGCAGGACGGCAAGGCAGCGACUUGACCCGCAGGACUGUCCCAUGAAAACCAGGACUGUUGGCAGAUGGCUGAAUACUUGAAGAAUGGCGUGAAAUGAGAAGAAGAACCCUAAGUUGGUGACCCGCAAUUUGUUAUAAGAUUGUGAAGAUCCUUGCUCUCCAGACACUAAAGACAAAGUGAAGUAAUAAUCAAUCUUCAAGCCAACAUAAGUGGAAUCCAUCAAUGAUAAAGAGCCGUCUCUCAUCACCUGUCAUCCAUGUAAGGGCCUUGAGAGUGAA